CAAACGUAAUUAAGUGCGCGGAG
rnacentral:miRNA from 1 species